AAUGUAUUACCUCCGUCCCAAAAUUCUUGUCUUACAUUUGUUUAGAUACGGAAGUAUCUAACACUAAAACGUGACUAGAUACAUCCGUAGAAAAAUCGAAGACAAGAAUUUUGUGGACGGAGGGAGUAUGUA
rfam:Triticum aestivum genome assembly, contig: Triticum_aestivum_CS42_TGACv1_scaffold_251524_3DL